CAUGCACCCAAACCCAAAGCUCGUAUCGUCUCGGUGGUACGAGUUUGUCUGGUGUGCAGACAGAAAUCGGAUCCUUGUCGCCUUUCUGAUGCUGCGGUGCCUCUGAAAGUGAAUUCAAGGGUCGACACGU